UUCUAAUUCUUUUGUAGGUUUUUUUUUUUUAUGUUUUUGUGUUGUUCUUUCCUGCAAACUUUUCUCUCUUGGUUAUUCUAAUUCUUUUUUGUGUUUUUAUGUGGUACUUUCCUUUUCCUGCAAACUUUCUCUAUUUAAUCUUAGUUAUUCUAAUUCUUUUGUAUGUUUUUAUGAUUCUCGAUUAUUCUAAUAUUUAUGAAUUUUCUCGGCAGAUCAACACUCAAUCUUUCAAAGGAGCAAAGAACCUCAAAUCUGCAAAAGCCACAAAAAAAUUGUGUUAGUGUAUAUCCAAGAUUUACAGAAAGUUGGCAUCAAGAAGAAGAUAUUUCAUAUCACCCCUGGUUUCCUCAUGUUAAUUUUUCCAAAAGCAAUACAUUAUAAUCACAUGCAAAUACAUAUAUACAUUUCGAUAGGUUUCAAAUUCAAAAAUAUAGUGUAUAUUUGUAAUCUACAUCUUAAUUUGUGGGAAAUUUUGAUAGAAGACUAUGAAAUCAUUUUCAUUAGUUUUUCAUUUAUUUGUCUCAAGAACAUUAUUGAACAAAAAAAAUAGUUCAUUAUAUAUAUUUAUGUGGAUGCUUUCUUUCAUUUUCCAACCUAUAGUGCUUUCAGCAUGCGUUCCAUAAUUAUGAAAAAAUGUGUAAAAUAGCCAAGUUAGAGAAACUAUUUAUGAAUAGAAUGGAAGAGAGACGGGAAGAAGAAACGUGUUGAUGAUGAUACCUGAUAAACAAUGGCGAGACUGAGAAUGCGUAGAAAAGGUGAAGGGAGAGGAGUGACGUGAGGGAGGGUAACAUUAAUCUGCAAGUUAACUCAAAUUAGCUCCAAAACAACAGAAACCAAAAUAAAAGACAUAUCACCUACAUAAGAGCACCAAAGAAACAAACACCAGCCAGAAGAACAGCACCAAAGAAACACCAGCUAAGAGUACACAUAUUUAAUUACAUUGUAAGCCAUUUGUGCAGAUAUCCAUAGAUCUAGCAAAAUAAUAACAUAAACACAAAAAAUAAAUAAACAACUCAAAAACGAAAAAACUAAUACGUAUGCUAAAUUAUACUCCCUCCGUCCCGGCCAAGAUGCUACAUAUUCCUUUUUGGGCCGUCCCAACGAAGAUGCAACAUUUCCAUAAAUGGAAAAAAUAAGGGAUUUUAAGCAUAUAAUUAGCACUAAUUAAGUAUUCCCUUAUUACCUUCUCUCUCCUACUUUAUCACUUUAUUACAUUCUCUUUCUUACUUUAUCACUUUAUUACAUUCUCUCUCCUACUUUAUCACUUUAUUAUUACACACUUAAAACAUUAAUCUACAACUCCUUAAAUCCCGUGUCGAAAAGCAAAUGUAGCGUCUUGGCCGGGACGGAGGGAGUAACUUACAUGGUAUUAAAAAAAAGCUAUCUGCAAAAAAAAAAAAAAAAACUUUUCUUUUCAAAUGAUAUUCAGAUCUACAAAAAUGAUGCUAUAAAAACAAAACAAAAAAUAAAAAUAAAAAACGCAACACUAAUAAACGAAAAAAAAUUAGAUCUUAUGCAGAUGAGGGAGAAGGCCGAGAUCUGAAGGGCGACGCCGUCGUUUGAAACCCGGACGGCGGCGGCUGGAUACGGGCUGUGCAGAGGGAGGCGGCAGCGAAUUUAUUGUUGUUGAGGGAGGCGCUAACGAGGCAAUGCCACCACAUCUUCGUACGGUGGUGGAGGAGCCCGCCUCUAAGGUUAUAUCAUAUGAAACCGGACGGCGGCGGCUGCGGGCUGUGCAGAGGAAAACGGCGGCGCAUUUAUCGUCGUCGAGAAGGGAGGUGACGACGCGUGGAGCGGUUGCAGCUGCGUGGCUUGUGGAGAAGACUUGAAUUGUAGAAGAUGUAUGGAUGGUUGGAUCUGCAAAGUGAGAACGGCGGAUCUAAUGAGAGAGAAUUUUGAGAGAAUUUUGGGAGAAGUGGAGAACACUCUAGAAUUCAAAGGUAGCGGCUGAAAAAGUGAAUGUCUCUCUGUAUUUAUAUUAUGUUGUGUUUAUUGAAUUAAUAAAUAUUGUGGUUGGGGCUCUCAAAAAUUUGUAGUAGCAUUCAG
rnacentral:lncRNA from 1 species